rnacentral:rRNA from 1 species
UUGUCACUUCCUAAACUCAAACGAGGAAUGGGUUUCCGAGACUUGGAAAGCUUCAAUAUUGCAUUGUUGGGCAAACACGGCUGGAGAUUGAUGAAAAACCCCGAGUCCUUGUGCUCUAGGGUUCUAAAAUGCCGCUAUUUUCCAACCUCUGAUUUCAUGAAUGCCUCUGUGCCACGAAGCGCCUCCGCGACAUGGAAGGGAAUUAUGGCUGGG